UUCUCGCAUGAACGUACUUAAUUUUAAUACGUAGUUUAAAAUUGCGACUGAUAAUGAUAGCAUGAGCUGUCGAGCCAGUUGUCUCAUACAAUAAAUUAUCUUAAAUUGACAAUAAGGAAACGGAAAUAGGCUAGUUUCGUACUUUAAGGAAUGGAUACGAAUACGGAAAGAAAUGGAACUGAAUAAGGAAUGAGAACACUCUCAACCGAAUUUUUUCUCACAAAUGAUGAAUUGUGUGCCCUGCAUGCUGCCUAGCUAUACUGUCAUGAAAUAUCUAUACAAGUAUAUUUUUAUGCUCGAUCCAGUCUCUGCUCUUCAUCGGGAUGAAUAUUUGAAAAAUACAAAAAUGCUAAUAGUAAUUAUAAUUACUAUAUGCGUUUUAAAUUUAAAUGGGUGAGAUUGAGAGUGGUGUAUGCUUCACAUACUUUGUAUUGGAUAAGUAGAGUAGAUUUUCAAGCGGUGACUUACCGCCGGUGAGCAAAUCCUGAAAUAAUUUAUUUUCUUGAACAGAUGAACGAUAUACUCUUCCGCAAAGUUGUACAGUUUGACAAGAUCAACAAUUUCUGCGAAUUUCAAUUGAUCUUCUCAAUAAAAUGAAAAUUCCCAAAAAACCACGAGUGAAACAUACUUUAUCAAAAUAUAAGUCGUCGAAAAACAUACACUGCUCUCAAUCUAACCUAGAUUUGUGGAUUAUCAUUAAGUAUAUUGAAUACAUACAAAAUACGAAGUGUGAAGUUGUAGAGCGCCGUCCAUAAAUGACGGCAAAAUUCAGCACUAAUUGGUGUGAUUUCGCAACAUUUCACAAUAUGUCGAAAUCACUUACGGCUAUUUACAGCUGAUUUUGCCGUCAAUUAUGGAUGGUGCUCUACAAUUGUUCAAAUUCUGACAAUAAGCGGGUGGUAUAUUGUUUUCUAGUUCCUGGAAUGAGUCCACUUCAAAAAUAAGCAUGCCAUCAUCGGCAUAGAAUUGUGCUUUGAGUGGUAGCUAUAUCAUAAACCCAACUUAUUUAAGCAUUGAUUAGUUAAAUGCGUGCAGCUUAUCUAUCAUAUUGGAAAGAUAAUACAAAUGAAACUGAUAAAACAAUUCAUUCCUUUGCAUGAAAUCUAUCUAACUUUUAUUUAGUAUAGAUUAUAAAACCGUACGACACACGUUUUUUUACUCUUUCCCUUGAAAAAUUCCAAAACGACGUGAAAAUAAGAUUCAAAUUAUGAGAAAUUGCAUCAUCACACACUAAUAAUGAAAAAUUCUAUUCCGGACAAGUCUAAUUCCAUGUAAAAUGGCCCACUAAACGCUUUUGUAGAAGCAAUUAUAUGUGAAAAACCAUUAGAAAUGGGAGUAAAUGGCAUGCAAACUAGUUUAAACAAUAAGCUGUACACUGAAAAUGGCGAAUUUAAUGGAACGCUUAAUCAUAACUUUUGAAAAGUAAUGAUGCAGUUCCUCCUCUUCGUAGUUUUAAAAUUUCUCAAGGAAGAGUGAAAAAACAUGUGUCGUAUUAAUUAAUGUCUAAACAAAAUAGAAUUUGGAUUCUACGCACAUUUGAAAAAAAAAUUGUCCACUUCGAAUGUUAAGUUCAACUUGAUAGUUCGAAAUGUCAUACAAUUUUAAAUUUGAAGUAAACACAACACAUUGGUGGUUAACAUAGAUUUGUAUUUAGAUAAAGUACAGCAAAAAUUAAUGCUAUACGCAGUUUUUCUCGACUUAGGUGCUCAAAGUUUGUCACGAUGAAAAUGGGACUGACAACAUCGCCUCUACGCCAACGUGGAUGCUUACUUAUAUUGGCUUUUUGUAUAAUGAUGAUUCCAUUCACUUUAAUGAUGCUGCUUAUAAGACCCGAUUUAUCGGCUGAACUGACAAUGUCUCAGCGUUUAGCU